rnacentral:rRNA from 1 species
GUAGGGAAUAUUGGGCAAUGGAGGCAACUCUGACCCAGCCAUGCCGCGUGCAGGAAGACGGUCCUCUGGAUUGUAAACUGCUUUUGAAUGGGAAGAAACGUAGCUUUGCGAAGCUAUUUGACGGUACUAUUAGAAUAAGCACCGGCUAACUCCGUGCCAGCAGCCGCGGUAAUACGGAGGGUGCAAGCGUUAUCCGGAUUUAUUGGGUUUAAAGGGUGCGUAGGCGGCUUUAUAAGUCUGGGGUUAAAGGCGGCAGCUUAACUGUACGCAUGCCCUGGAAACUGUGAAGCUUGAGUGACUUGGAGGUAGCUAGAAUUCCCUGUGUAGCGGUGAAAUGCAUAGAUACGGGGAGGAAUACCGAUUGCGAAGGCAUGUUACUACGAGUAAACUGACGCUGAUGCACGAAAGCGUGGGGAUCAAACAGGAUUAGAAACCCCAGUAGUCC